UUUUAUUUCUUUCAGGUUCAAGGCCUGCCAGGAACAGGCAGGAUUUUCUCUCUUUCAGAUUUCCUUUGAAUGUUUGCCUUCUGUUACCAGGACAGGCCAUAUUGUCAGAUUUGUUUUUCAUGUAGCUCACUUCUGCAGUAUUAAAUUCUUGCCUUAUUAAUUAAUAAGUAACCUUUUUAACAUAAAAUAAUUUCAAGUUCAGUUUUUCCUGUUUUGGCUUUUCUCUUAUUACAAGCUUGGGAGUCAGAGACGGUGUAUUCCCAUGGAAAUGUGAAAUAGUGCCAGUCCUUUAGUAGGGACAUUGAGGGAGCCAAACACAGUGCAAGUCCUUCUGUAUGUUCCCUGCCUUCAAUCUUCUAGACCUCUACUGCCGGUGUCUUCUGUUCUUGUGUCCCUUGCUUGAAGCUGCUUUCCAUGGAAUUUUUUCACGAAGUCAUUGACUGUCGACAUGGCAUGAAGACUAAAUGCACUGAUCAAACCAAGUUUCUCGCCGUUUUCUGGCAGCCAAUGGAAGGGCCGAGGAUACCAGUGCGCGUCAAGUGUUGAAUUUUCCACAAAAUGGCACAGAUUCCGAGCAUUGUUUCUCUCUGGUCAGAAAAAAAGAUCAGAGAAAUAACUUAUCAAUGAUAUAUUCCUGUUAGUAAUAAUUGAUCGCAGACUGAAUGCUACGUUGGGUCGACUGGGAAGCUGGAAAAAUACAAAGAUAAAGAUAAUUUAUUAAACUUACUGAACAUGACAUUAGAGAAUGUUCAGUUGUGAAAGUGAAAAAGGCAUUAAAAAUAUUAAGAUCAAGUGCAAAUUUGAUGGUUCAUUAUUGACCUUAACACUUACUGAAUGUAACAUUAAAGGAUGUUCAAGUGUGACAGUGAAAUAGACAUUAAACAUUAAAGAUCAAGUUGUGGUUUAAGACAGAAUACUGAAAAGAUCAACACCAGCAUGUUAACAAUAAUGUUACAAUUUAUUUUAUGGUAUUAAGAACCCUAGCAUUAAUACAAAUUUUGAUGUUGUACUUGACAACGUUCUCCAUGUUUUAUUUGCUCCAUCACACUCGCACGAGAUAUUAUAGUUGACAAGAUCCUUGUUAGUUAGCUUUCAGUGUCUUCUAACAAUUUUGGCAUAAACACUGCUGUAACAUCAGUUAGUUGAUCAAUGGUCAAUGACAAAAUAACACCAGUUGGCUCAUUUUCGACUCUGUAUGUACGCUCACAACCAAGGCACUCAAAACCAAGGCAGUCUUUGUAUUAAAAUUUUAAGUGUU